GCGGAUGUGGCGGAAUGGCAGACGCAUCAGACUCAAAAUCUGACGGGCUUACACUCGUGCGGGUUCAAGUCCCGCCAUCCGCA
rnacentral:tRNA from 1 species